AUGGCCCUCAUCGAUCGGGAAACAGAGUUAAAGCUGGCGGAACUUGAAGAGGAGACCUACAUUGAUUACAGUCCACAAAUUGAAGAAGAAUUAAUAGGUCUCAACUUCAAGUACAAGAUUGGAAAAUCUUCAAACUACAUUCGAGAUUUACCGGAAUUUGCUGGCGAUCCAAUGGAAUGGCUCCAGUUUAAGCAGGCGUAUGAGGAGUCCACUGAGGUGUGUAAUUUUACGGACAAGGAGAAUUUAUGGAGGCUACAAGUAAGGUUGGGUAAAUUAAAUGAGCCGUCUGCUACACUCACCCCUCUAGGCUGGUGCAUCCACGGUAGUCUACGUGUGCCGCAGAACGAGCGCAAAUCGACAAUCGCCACUGCUCUCACUGUAUUUGAGAAUGCAGAGGAUUCUAUGUCAUACGAGGUCGGUUUGCAGCAUCUUCAUGAGGAAGUCAGAUGUUCCUUUGCCUUAGAUUCACUAGGAAUUUCAGCCACUAUGCCGCGUCAAAAUGCUGAUGACGUACGCGCUAUCGCUGAGCUGGAACGUACUGCCCUUCUCAAGGACGGUCGUUGGUAUGUUUCUCUACCGUGGAAGGAUAAGGAGUGUAAGAUGCCAGACUCUUACACUGCCGCUGUAAGAAGGUUCCGAGGUAUUGAAAAUAAAAUGGAGAAGGAUUUAGGUUUUGCUUACAGGUACAGAGAACGUAUUCAACAUCUACUGGAAAAUGGAUUUGCUAGAGUACUUGAGGACUCCGCGUCCACUCCCCGGACAUGCUCAGUUUAUAAAGAACAAAAUGCACAGCGCUAUGUGUCAACCUUACCGGCCGCUGUUAAAGCAAUAACGAAUUCACACUAUAUGGAUGACUAUAUAGAUAGUUUACCUGAUGACGAGUCAGCAAUAAAAAUGGUAAAAAUAUAACUAAUAUCCACUUAUCAGGUGGUUUUGAGAUUCGAAACUGGACUAGUAAUAGCGAAGCUGUGUUGAACUCUAUACCUGAAGCAUCCUUAGGCACUGCAGCCAUAAAGUUUAAAACUCAUCAGCAGUUCGAAGGAGAGCGUAUUUUGGGCCUGAUAUGGUAUCCCAAAGAUGACGUAUGGGGUUUUGAUGUGUCUUUGAAACGGAUACCCGAAAGCAUUAUUCAUGGUAAGGAGCGCCCUACGAAACGGUUAAUGUUAAGAGUAGUAAUGUCUAUUUUUGAUGUUUUAGGUUUCCUAUCGCCAUUUACUAUACAAGGAAAAAUUAUGCUACAGGAUACGUGGCGUCUUAAUAUUGGAUGGGACGAAUAUAUAUCAGAUGAUAUUUACGGUAAAUGGUGCAAAUGGAUUAAUUUACUUAAGUCUAUUCGUGACUUACGCAUACCGAGGUACUAUCAGGCGCCAUUAACAAUAAGGCGAGAUAGCCAGCCGGCCACGAACCUAACACCUUGCGAUUCGCCAGUACUCAUCGGACUCACUAUGCCGCCGACACCUCCGCUCGCUACGACCGGUGAGGGAAACUCCGUGACAGAGUCCGCAGAUGUUAUGUCAAUGAAUAUCGGCUAUGACAACCUACAAUUGCAUGUGUUUAGCGACGCAUCGAGUAAAGCAAUGUGUGCGGUUGCAUUUUGGCGCUGGAACAUUAAUGAAAAAAUUUAUGUCUCAUUUAUAGCAAGUAAGUGUAGAGUCUUACCUGUUAGGCCUAUAACCAUCCCGAAAGCUGAACUUGAAGCAGCUCGCCUGGCAGCUAGAUUGGCGAAUAAUAUAAUAAGGGAGCAUAGAUUAACUCCAACCGUUAGAUAUUUUUGGUGUGAUUCAACCACAGUUAUCCAUUGGAUUCGAAACAAUACACGGAAGUAUAAAACAUUUGAAGCUAAUCGCCUAGGUGAGAUAGAUAACUUGACCCGUAUACAUGAAUGGAAAUAUGUUCCUACGAAGUUAAACGUUGCUGACUUAGGCACCCGAGAAUCUUUUGAUUGUUCUGUCUUUGAAAGCGAGUGGUUUACGGACCAGCUUUUUAUACAAUGA